AUGCAAGUCUUUCCAGCAUGACUGGGCUUGUGGUAGUCCUGAUCAUUCCUGUAGAUCUUGCUAGAUUAACACUGAGAUGGUUUGAGGCCUCCUCUUGCCUUUCCAGGGGGAGGUUAUAGAAACCUCAGACAUUU